GACGAACGCUGGCGGCGUGCUUAACACAUGCAAGUGGAGCGACGAACCAGGCUUCGGCCUGGGCAGAGCCGCGAACGGGUGAGUAACACGUGGGUAACCUGCCUCGAUGACCGGGACAACCCGGGGAAACCCGGGCUAAUACCGGAUGUGCUGCCUUCACAUCAGUGGAGACAGGAAAGGAAGCUUCGGCCUCCGCAUCGAGAUGGGCCCGCGGCCCAUUAGCUUGUUGGGAGGUAAUGGCUCACCAAGGCCGCGAUGGGUAGCUGGUCUGAGAGGACGAUCAGCCACACUGGGACUGAGACACGGCCCAGACUCCUACGGGAGGCAGCAGUGGGGAAUCUUGCGCAAUGCGCGAAAGCGUGACGCAGCAACGCCGCGU
rnacentral:rRNA from 1 species